rnacentral:rRNA from 1 species
UACGGGGGGUGCGAGCGUUGUCCGGAAUCACUGGGCGUAAAGGGCGCGUAGGUGGUCUGAUAAGGGUGUGGUGAAAGCCCGGGGCUCAACCCCGGGUCGGCCGUGCCGACUGUUGGACUAGAGUGCUGUAGGGGCAGGCGGAAUUCCGGGUGGUAGCGGUGGAAUGCGUAGAGAUGUGGAGGAACACCGAUGGCGAAGGCAGCCUUCGUGGGCCAAUACUGACGCUCAUGCACGAAAGCGUGGGGAGCAAACAGG